AUUGAGAUGGCAGAGCCCGGCAAUUGCAAAAGACCUAAGUCCUUUCUCUCGGAGGUUCAAAUCCCCCUCUUAAUA
rnacentral:tRNA from 1 species